rnacentral:rRNA from 1 species
GUCCACGCCCUAAACGAUGUCAACUAGGUGUCGGGAGCGCAAGUUCUUGGUACCGCAGCUAACGCGUGAAGUUGACCGCCUGGGGAGUACGGUCGCAAGAUUAAAACUCAAAGGAAUUGACGGGGACCCGCACAAGCGGUGGAUGAUGUGGAUUAAUUCGAUGCAACGCGAACAACCUUACCUACCCUUGACAUGUCCGGAACCCUGCUGAAAGGCGGGGGUGCCCCGAAAGGGAAUCGGAACACAGGUGCUGCAUGGCUGUCGU